UUUUUUUUUUUUUUUUUUUUUUUUUUUUUUUUUUUUUUUUUCCCCAAACCCAGGCCACAUUUAUUAUGACUGAA
rnacentral:ribozyme from 13 species